UACAGGGGGUGCAAACGUUGCUCGGAAUCAUUGGGCGUAAAGCGCACGUAGGCGGUUCGUUAUGUCGGAUGUGAAAGCCCUUGGCUUAACCGAGGAAGUGCAUCCGAAACUGGCGAGCUAGAGUACUAAAGAGGAUCGCGGAAUUCCCGGUGUAGAGGUGAAAUUCGUAGAUAUCGGGAGGAACACCAGUGGCGAAGGCGGCGACCUGGACGGACACUGACGCUGAGACGCGAAAGCGUGGGGAGCAAACAGG
rnacentral:rRNA from 1 species